rnacentral:rRNA from 1 species
CCAUUCAUUUAAAGAGUGCGUAACAGCUCACUAGUCAAGAGAUCUUGCGUGGAAAAUGUAACGGGGCUAAAACGUUAUACCGAAGAUAUGGAUUACACGCUAAGUACAAAGUUAAAGUUGUGUUACAAUCAAUUUAUGGAAAAUGAGAUUUACGUAGGUAGCGUUUAUAAACACUAUAAAGGCAAUAAGUAUGUUGUUGUAAGUAUAGCUGUUCAUACUGAGACGCUUGAAGAGCUUGUAGUUUAUCGAGCCAUUUAUGGCGACGGAGAAUUAUGGGCUAGACCUAAGAAAAUGUUUUUAGAUAAUAUUGAAAAGAACGGAAAGAUCAUUCCAAGGUUUAAAUUGAUUAAAAAACUUUGAUUUUGUUCUUAGUGUGUAGUGGUAGAGGAGCGUUCCUAUCAGCGGUGAAGUCGAAUCGGAAGGUUCGGUGGAGCGGUAGGAAGUGAGAAUGCUGGAAUGAGUAACCAUAAGAGAGGUGAGAAUCCUCUCGGCCGUAAGAGCAAGGUUUCCUGAGCCAUGGUAAUCAUCUCAGGGUUAGUCGGGCCUAAGCCGAGGCGCAGAGCGUAGGCGAUGGACAUCAGGUUAAUAUUCCUGAACCGGUUAAGUUUUGUACACUGUUCACGGGGAAGUAAUCGAAGCGGAUUCAUGGUUUAUCCGUCCAACCGAGCGGGAACGCAAAGGGAGUGAAAGUGAUUCUUCGGAGUCGCGAUUUUGGUGAAAGCCCUGGCUAGAAAAGCAGGUGUACGCGUGGACUUAGCCGCCCGUACCGCAAACCAACACAGGUGCUCGAGUCGAGUAGACUCAGGCUUACGAGCGAACCUUCGCUAAGGAACUCGGCAAUACAGCGACCGUAACUUCGGGAUAAGGUCUGCCCCCACUUCGGUGGAUAUCAGCCGCGUUCACUCAGUGAAUAUUAGGUUAAAGAGUACAUUUUUAAUCACAAAACGAAUUUUCUGAGAUAGAGCAAACGAAUUGUUCUUUUGAACGCGAACCUCUGACGUCUAACGAUGUGGGGGCCGCAGCAAAAGAGCCCACGGAACUGUUUAUCAAAAACACAGGUCUCUGCUAACACGAAAGUGGAUGUAUAGGGGCUGACUCCUGCCCAAUGCUGGAAGGUUAAGGGGAGCGCUUCACGGUGCGAACUGAAGCCCUAGUCAAUGGCGGCGGUAACUAUAACCGUCCUAAGGUAGCGAAAUUCCUUGUCAGGUAAGUUCUGACCCGCACGAAUGGAGUAAUCAUGUGGGCACUGUCUCAGCGAAGGACUCGGUGAAAGUGCAUUGGCGGUAAAGAUGCCGUCUGUCCGUACCAGGACGAAAAGACCCCAUGGAGCUUUACUACAGCUUUACAUUGAAUAUGGUUUCAACAUGUGUAGCAUAGGUGGGAGACUUUGAAGCAGAUACGCCAGUAUUUGUGGAGUCACCAAGUGAAAUACCACCCUUGUUGUGAUUGUGUUCUCACGCUGACCGUUAUCCGGUUAGCGGACCGUGUAUGGUGGGUAGUUUAACUGGGGCGGUUGCCUCCUAAAGAGUAGCGGAGGCGUUCAAAGGU